AACCUGGAAGUGGGACCAGCGGGAGGGAGUCAGUCAGCAGACCCCGCCUCACACGAGGUCCCCGCUGCCCGUCCUGAAGAUUAGCCCUGAGCUAACUGCUGCCAAUCCUCCUCUUUUUGCGGGAAAGACUGGCCCUGAGCUAACAUCUGUGCCGAUAUUCCUCCACUUUACACGUGGGAUGCCUACUACAGCAUGGCUUGCCAAGCGGGUGCCAUGUCCGCACCCAGGAUCCGAACCGGCGAACCCCGGGCCGCCGAGAAGCAGCACAUGCGCACUUAACCGCUGCGCCACCAGGCCGGCCCCUGUAAAAUAAUUUUAUAAAUCUUCUAGCCUGUGAACCAACAGAAUAGUGGUGGUGCAGCACCACUUAAGACCGUGCUAAAAAUGCACUUGACGCAGCUGCAGGGAGAACACAGCCAACGUCGCAGAACGUCCCCUAACAGCCUCCUGUCUGGUGCUCAGCUGUAAACUUCCCAUUGGUUGGCUGUUCCCACCUGGGACGACCACUUGACUUGUUCUUGACUUUUAUGAAGGAACCACUGUCUCCCCUGAAGCAUCUACUCAAACGCAAAAGGAGGUAUUAGGCAGGGCUCAAACGCUGCUGUGUCUUGUCAGCGUUAAC
rnacentral:lncRNA from 1 species